rnacentral:sRNA from 1 species
GGAGUCGCUCGAGGAGUUCAUCCGGAGG